UCAAGCUACAAAGAGCACAAGGGGAAUGCCUUGGCACCGAGAGCCGAAGAAGGACGUGACUAACUGCGAUAAGCUACGGGGAGCUGUAAGUGAGCGUUAUAUCCGUAGAUUUCCGAAUGGAGCAAUCCGAUUAGAGGAAAGUCUAAUCAUCAUAUACUGAAUACAUAGGUAUAUGAGGGGAACCGCCUGAACUGAAACAUCUAAGUAGGGCGAGGAAGAGAAAUCAACUGAGAUUCCGUAAGUAGUGGCGAGCGAACGCGGAAGAGGCCAAACCUAAUGUAGUAAUAUGUUAGGGGUUCGGACAGUAAAAUGAAUUGUCGAGAUUUAGCCGAAUGUCAUGGGAAGGGCAAUCAAAGAAGGUGAAAAUCCUGUAGGCGAAAAGUUAAGACAUCAGACUGUAUCCAGAGUACCGCCGGACACGUGAAACCCGGUGGGAAUACGGGGGGACCAUCCUCCAAGCCUAAAUACUACUCGGUGACCGAUAGAGAAGAAGUACUGUGAAGGAAAGGUGAAAAGCACCCCGGAAGGGGAGUGAAAGAGAACCUGAAACCUUGUGUUUACAAGCACCGAAAGUUCAUCAACGAACGAUCGGGUACCUUUUGUAGAAUGGUCCGGCGAGUGAAUGUAACUGGCAAGGUUAAGCACUUAAGGUGUGAAGCCGUAGCGAGAGCGAGUCUGAAAAGGGCGCAUGAAGUCAGUUGUAUUCGACCCGAAACCGGGUGACCUACCCAUGUCCAGGCUGAAGUGCAGGUAAAACUUCAUGGAGGGCCGAACCGACUCCCGUUGAAAUGGUAGCGGAUGAGGUGUGGGUAGCGGAGAAAUUCCAAUCGAACCCGGAGAUAGCUGGUUCUCUCCGAAAUAGCUUUAGGGCUAGCCUUGGAAUAGAUUACUGGAGGUAAAGCACUGAAUUGGCUAGGGGCCGAGAGGUUACUGAACCUUAUCAAACUAAGAAUGCCAGAUAAUCGUUUUCCAGGAGUCAGACAGUGGGAGAUAAGUUUCAUUGUCAAAAGGGAAACAGCCCAGACCUACAGCUAAGGUCCCAAAGUAUAGUUAAGUGGAAAAGGAUGUGGAAUUGCAUAGACAACCAGGAUGUUGGCUUAGAAGCAGCCACUCAUUAAAAGAGUGCGUAAUAGCUCACUGGUCGAGUGAUUCUGCGCCGAAAAUUUAACGGGGCUAAACUAUACACCGAAGCUUAGGAUACCGCAAGGUAUGGUAGGAGAGCGUUCUGUACGGAGUGAAGUCGUAGCGAAAGCGGCGGUGGACUGUACAGAAGUGAGAAUGCCGGAAUAAGUAGCGAGAAUUAAGUGAGAAUCUUAAUGGCCGAAAGUCUAAGGUUUUUGGAGGAAGGUUCGUCCGCUCCAAGUAAGUCGGGAGCUAAGGUCAGGCCGAAAGGCGUAGCCGAUGCACAAACGGUUGAUAUUCCGUUACCGUCUAUAAUUUAAACAAAGGGACACAUACAAAGCGUUUAACCCGGGCGAUGGUUGACCCGGGCGCAAGGGACUGAAAUUAGAGUAGGGAAGUAAAUGUGGCGUAUGGCGAGAAAAGCUUUGUGUAUAGAAGUAGACGCCCGUACCGCAAACCGACACAGGUGGACAGGAAGAGAAUUCUAAGGCCAGCGGGAGAAGGGUAGUUAAGGAACUCGGCAAAUUGACUCCGUAACUUCGGAAUAAGGAGUGCUCGAAAGAGCCGCAGAGAAUAGGCCCAGGCGACUGUUUAGCAAAAACACAGGUCUCUGCCAAAUCGAAAGAUGAAGUAUAGGGGCUGACACCUGCCCGGUGCCGGAAGGUUAAGAGGAGGAGUGCAAGCUCCGAAUUGAAGCCCCGGUAAACGGCGGCCGUAACUAUAACGGUCCUAAGGUAGCGAAAUUCCUUGUCGGGUAAGUUCCGACC
rnacentral:rRNA from 1 species